AUUGAACGCUGGCGGCAGGCCUAACACAUGCAAGUCGAACGGUAACAGGGAUCAGCUUGCUGAUUCGCUGACGAGUGGCGGACGGGUGAGUAAUGUCUGGGAAACUGCCUGAUGGAGGGGGUUAACUACUGGAAACGGUAGCUAAUACCGCAUAACGUCGCAAGACCAAAGAGGGGGACCUUCGGGCCUCUUGCCAUCGGAUGUGACCAGAUGGGAUUAGCUAGUAGGUGGGGUAACGGCUCACCUAGGCGACGAUCCCUAGCUGGUCUGAGAGGAUGACCAGCCACACUGGAACUGAGACACGGUCCAGACUCCUACGGGAGGCAGCAGUGGGGAAUAUUGCACAAUGGGCGCAAGCCUGAUGCAGCCAUGCCGCGUGUAUGAAGAAGGCCUUCGGGUUGUAAAGUACUUUCAGCGGGGAGGAAGGGAGUAAAGUUAAUACCUUUGCUCAUUGACGUUACCCGCAGAAGAAGCACCGGCUAACUCCGUG
rnacentral:rRNA from 1 species